AUGGAUUUGUCUGUAUUUGAAAAUAAUUACUGAAAAACAAAAAAUCUGUUCUUAUCAGUUUAAUAUCUGAUACAUCCCCCAUAGGGGGACCAGUCUAUAUUAAAAUUGAUUUUUGGAAGCGGGAGAUGGAACCGGGGCUUGCUCCGUCCACGCCACACAUCGACCCGGUAUUGCAGUACAGCCUGAUGGACAGCCU